rnacentral:rRNA from 1 species
UACGGAAGGCAGCAGUGGGGAAUAUUGCACAAUGGGCGCAAGCCUGAUGCAGCCAUGCCGCGUGUAUGAAGAAGGCCUUCGGGUUGUAAAGUACUUUCAGUCGUGAGGAAGGUGUUAAGGUUAAUAACCUUAGCAAUUGACGUUAGCGACAGAAGAAGCACCGGCUAACUCCGUGCCAGCAGCCGCGGUAAUACGGAGGGUGCGAGCGUUAAUCGGAAUUACUGGGCGUAAAGGGCACGCAGGCGGUUAAUUAAGUUGGAUGUGAAAUCCCCGGGCUUAACCUGGGAAUGGCAUUCAAGACUGGUUAGCUAGAGUCUUGUAGAGGGGGUAGAAUUCCGAUGUGUAGCGGUGAAAUGCGUAGAGAUGUGGAGGAAUACCGGUGGCGAAGGCGGCCCCUGGACAAAGACUGACGCUCAUGUGCGAAAGCGUGGGGAGCAAACGAGGAUUAGAUACC